GACGUAGGGCGCGAGCGUUGUCCGGAUUUAUUGGGCGUAAAGAGCUCGUAGGCGGUCUGUCGCGUCGGAUGUGAAAACCCAGGGCUCAACCCUGGGCCUGCAUUCGAUACGGGCAGACUAGAGUUCGGUAGGGGAGACUGGAAUUCCUGGUGUAGCGGUGAAAUGCGCAGAUAUCAGGAGGAACACCGGUGGCGAAGGCGGGUCUCUGGGCCGAAACUGACGCUGAGGAGCGAAGGCGUGGGGAGCGAACAGG
rnacentral:rRNA from 1 species